CCGGUUGAUCCUGCCGGAGGACACUGCUAUCAGAGUACGCCUAAGCCAUGCAAAUCUGCCCGGCGACUUCGCCGGACGGUGUACGGCUCAGUAACAAGUAGUCAAUCUGCCCUUCGGACUGGCAUACCCCCGGGAAACUGGGGUUAAUUCCGGAUGGCCCGCCUCUGCUGGAAUGCUUGGCGGGCAAAACGGCGCGCGAAUCAGGGCGCGUCCGCCGAAGGAUGAGACUGCUCCUGAUUAGGUAGUUGGUGAGGUAACGGCUCACCAAGCCGAUAAUCAGUAGGGGCAAUGGGAGUUGGCGCCCCGAGAAGGGCACUGAGACAGGGGCCCUAGUCCUACGGGAUGCAGCAGGCGCGAAACCUUUACAAUGCGCGAAAGCGUGAUAAGGGAACUCUGAGUGGCAGCCGGCUUUUGCCGACUGUCUUUCGGCGAACCUAAACCGUUCGCAGAAUAAGUUCUGGGUAAGACCAGUGCCAGCCGCCAUGUGCUUUGCACAAAGCGCACGGUACGCGGUAAUACUGGCAGAACGAGUGGUGCCCACGAAUAUUGGGUCUAAAGAGACCGU
rnacentral:rRNA from 1 species